rnacentral:rRNA from 1 species
GAGUUUGAUCUUGGCUCAGAGUGAACGCUGGCGGCGCGCCUAAAACAUGCAAGUCGAGUGGGUUUAGACCCACGGCGAACGGCUGCGUAACACGUGGGUACCUGCCUCGAACUCAGGGAUAUCCCUCCGAAAGGAGGGGUAAUACCGGAUAGUCCCGCAAGGGUAAAGAUUUAUCGGUUCGAGAGGGGCCUACGGCCUAUCAGCUAGUUGGUAAGGUAACGGCUUACCAAGGCUAUGACGGGUAGCUGGUCUGAGAGGACGACCAGCCAGAAUGGAACUGAGACACGGUCCAUACUCCUACGGGAGGCAGCAGUUAGGAAUCUUCCACAAUGGGCGAAAGCCUGAUGGAGCGACGCCGCGUGAAGGAUGAGGCCCUUACCGGGUGUAAACUUCUGUUGUGAGGGACGAAAUUUUUGACGGUACCUCACGAGAAAGCACCGGCUAAUUCUGUGCCAG